AGUGGCAGACGGGUGAGUAACAUGUGGGUAUCUACCCUUUGGCCUGGAAUAACACGAGGAAACUUGUGCUAAUACUGGAUAAGUCUUUACGGAGAAAGCUUUAUGCACCAUUGGAUGAGCCUGCACUUGAUUAGUUUGUUGGUAGGGUAAUGGCCUACCAAGACUGUGAUCAAUAGCUGAUUUGAGAGGAUGAUCAGCCACAUUGGGACUGAGACACGGCCCAAACUCCUACGGGAGGCAGCAGUGGGGAAUCUUGCACAAUGGAGGAAACUCUGAUGCAGCGAUGCCGCGUGAGUGAAGAAGGCCUUUGGGUUGUAAAGCUCUUUCGUCGGGGAAGAAAAUGACUGUACCCGAAUAAGAAGGUCCGGCUAACUUCGUGCCAGCAGCCGCGGUAAUACGAAGGGACCUAGCGUAGUUCGGAAUUACUGGGCUUAAAGAGUUCGUAGGUGGUUGAAAAAGUUGGUGGUGAAAUCCCAGAGCUUAACCCUGGAACUGCCAUCAAAACUUUUCAGCUAGAGUUUGAUAGAGGAAAGCAGAAUUUCUAGUGUAGAGGUGAAAUUCGUAGAUAUUAGAAAGAAUACCAAUUGCGAAGGCAGCUUUCUGGAUCAUUACUGACACUGAGGAACGAAAGCAUGGGUAGCGAAGAGGAUUAGAUACCCUCGUAGUCCAUGCCGUAAACGAUGUGUGUUAGACGUUGGAAAUUUAUUUUCAGUGUCGCAGCGAAAGCGAUAAACACACCGC
rnacentral:rRNA from 1 species